UACGUAGGGCGCAAGCGUUGUCCGGAAUUAUUGGGCGUAAAGAGCUCGUAGGCGGCCUGUCACGUCGGAUGUGAAAGCCCGGGGCUUAACCCCGGGUCUGCAUUCGAUACGGGCAGGCUAGAGUUCGGUAGGGGAGAGUCGGAAUUCCUGGUGUAGUGGUGAAAUGACGUAGAUAUCGGGAGGAACACCAGUGGCGAAGGCGGCUUCCUGGCCUGUUCUUGACGCUGAGGCGCGAAAAGCUAGGGGAGC
rnacentral:rRNA from 1 species